rnacentral:rRNA from 1 species
CCUACGGGAGGCAGCAGUGGGGAAUAUUGGACAAUGGACCAAAAGUCUGAUCCAGCAAUUCUGUGUGCACGAUGAAGGUCUUCGGAUUGUAAAGUGCUUUCAGUAGGGAAGAAUAAAUGACGGUACCUACAGAAGAAGCGACGGCUAAAUAUGUGCCAGCAGCCGCGGUAAUUAGUAU